CCUACGGGAGGCAGCAGUGGGGAAUAUUGCACAAUGGGGGAAACCCUGAUGCAGCGACGCCGCGUGAGUGAAGAAGUAAUUCGUUAUGGAAAGCUCUAUCAGCAGGGAAGAAAAUGACGGUACCUGAGUAAGAAGCCCCGGCUAACUACGUGCCAGCAGCCGCGGUAAUACGUAGGGGGCAAGCGUUAUACGGAUGUACUGGGUGUAAAGGGAGCGUAGACGGCAGUGCAAGUCUGGAGUGAAAGGCGGGGGCUCAACCCCCGGACUGCUCUGGAAACUGGACGGCUGGAGUGCAGGAGAGGUAAGUGGAAUUCCUAGUGUAGCGGUGAAAUGCGUAGAUAUUAGGAGGAACCCCAGUGGCGAAGGCGGCUUACUGGACUGUAACUGACGUUGAGGCUCGAAAGCGUGGGGAGCAAACAGGAUUAGAUACCCCAGUAGUC
rnacentral:rRNA from 1 species